rnacentral:rRNA from 1 species
AUUGAACGCUGGCGGAAUGCUUUACACAUGCAAGUCGAACGGCAGCACGGGGGCAACCCUGGUGUCGAGUGGCGAACGGGUGAGUAAUACAUCGGAACGUGCCCGGUCGCGUGGUAUAACGUAGCGAAAGUUACGCUAAUACCGCAUACGAUCUGAGGAUGAAAGCGGGGGACCUUCGGGCCUCGCGCGAUCGCGGCGGCCGAUGUCAGAUUAGGUAGUUGGUGGGGUAAAGGCCUACCAAGCCGACGAUCUGUAGCUGGUCUGAGAGGACGACCAGCCACACUGGGACUGAGACACGGCCCAGACUCCUACGGGAGGCAGCAGUGGGGAAUUUUGGACAAUGGGCGCAAGCCUGAUCCAGCCAUUCCGCGUGCAGGACGAAGGCCUUCGGGUUGUAAACUGCUUUUGUAUGGAACGAAAAGGAUCUGGCUAAUACCUGGGGCUCAUGACGGUACCGUAAGAAUAAGCACCGGCUAACUACGUG